rnacentral:rRNA from 1 species
UACAAGGUUUGGUCCUGGCCUUAGUGUUAAUUGUAACUAGAAUUAUACAUGCAAGUUUCAGCCCUCCUGUGAGAAUGCCCUAAUUAAUCUAUUAAAUAAUUAGGAGCAGGUAUCAGGCACACGCACGUAGCCCAAGACACCUUGCUAAGCCACACCCCCAAGGGAUUUCAGCAGUAAUAAACAUUAAUUCAUGAGCGAAAGCUUGAAUUAGUUAAAGUCGACAGAGUUGGUUAAUCUCGUGCCAGCCACCGCGGUUAUACGAGUAACUCAUAUUAACACACCCCGGCGUAAAGAGUGGUUUAAGAAUGACCUUUAAAUAACUAAAGUUUAGACCUCAUAAAGCUGUUAUACGCACCCAUGAGUGGAAUAAUCAACAACGAAAGUGACUUUACAUAUUAAGGAGCCUUGAUGCCACGAUAGUUGAGACCCAAACUAGGAUUAGAUACCCUACUAUGCCCAACCAUAAACUUAGACAAUACUUCACCAUAUUGUUCGCCAGAGUACUACAAGCGCUAGCUUAAAACCCAAAGGACUUGGCGGUAUCCCACACCCAC